GGAAUUGCCAACAUGGACUUCUGUGAGUGGCUUGCAAGAGGAGUGUUCAGAAUGCUCAGUUAACGGUCCUCAGAAAGAGGUUUGCGCCCGACUCUCACCAUAAAGUGUUACAUUCUUCAGCGACAUGACAAGGAAGUGAACUUGCUAGAUCUGGCAAUACAGAAUCAGUCAGCGGUAAUUUGGAGAUGAAGUUGUUAUCUUCGGCUGCUCUGUUCAAAUUAAUUUUCCACAUUCGCUGUCAACAAAAGUGGAGUGACAGUCCUUGGGAUGCUUUCAAAAUAAUUAGCACCAUCACACAAAAGACAAUAUGAAUUACUGAGGUGGGGGGUGGUAAUACAUAAAUAAAGUGAAUCCUCAGACGCGUUGUGCAACUUGUGUGCCUUCUAAGGUAUAAAUAGUCCAGCUGGAGGAUCUUUCAUGCCAAAAACAUGGUGCUUCAAAGAGGACAUUACAUUAAUUGGAUGUGUCAGCUCUUCUGUGAGCCAUCAUUGAGAGUGCGAACCUUCAGAUCACGGGGUUGAAUAUGUUACACACCACAAUGUGAGAUAGCUCUUAUUAGGGAAGAGUGAGCUAUGAGCAGGACUUAAUGCCAGCAGUUUUUGUCCAGUGAAGUGGUCUUAUCAGUGGUGGAUGGAGCAAUCCAAGCACAAACUGGUUUACAACUGCUAUAAAUGUGAUCAUGGGAGAUGUGUUGACAGGCAUUUAAAAGUAGUAUGCCCAGGACUCUUUGGUUAUGUAAAGUGGACUUAUCUUCUCAGCAGCGUCUCCACCCCCAUCAUUCAGCCCGGACAUAGAUGUCCUCCUCCGAGGUCCUUCUGGUGGUUCUCUCACUGCGAGAAGUGAAGUUACAGGCAACCAGGCAGAGGGCCUUCUCAGUAGUGGCACCUGCCCUGUGGAACGCUCUCCCAUCACAUGUGAAGGAGAAAAAUAACUAUACAACUUUUAGAAGACAACUGAAGGCAGACCUGUAUAGGGAAGUUUUUUAAUGUUUGGUGUUUUAUUAUUUUUAUUAUCUGUUGGAAGCCCCCAGAGUAACUGGGGCAGCCUAGACAGAUAAGCUGGGUAAAAAUACUACUACUACUACUACUACUAUUAAACUGAAGUGCAGGUAUUUGCAUUUGCUCCUAUUGUUUGGUAGCUAACUUACCAUUUACAUUCCUCACUUUCUUCCUUUGUUUCCUGCUCUGUCAAAAUUUACGUAGAUUGUAAGUGUCUCUUGGCAGGGACCUUUUUACAUCAAUAUCUGUCUAAUGAAUUUUACCUGCUUAAGAAUAAUCAAAGGUGCAGCCAAAACCAGCCCUAGGAUCUGUUUCCUGGAUCAAAUCUCAAUGGUCUUUUGCCCAGCUCAGUUCCAUGCUGCUGGGAAAUGCAUCUCCAUGAGUACUCAUUGCUCCCAAUUUCUUUCCCAGAUAUGAUCCAGGUGAUCUGUGUUUUCUGUUUUUCCCUUCUCAGGUAUAACCACCAUGUAGGCACUGUCUGAAAUGGCCUCCAGGCUCAGUCUUUCCCACCAGCCCAGGGGAAAGGGAAAAGCAGCUUUUGACACAUAGCUGAACUGCCUAGCAAUGAUAGCUGCCAUAACACACUCCCCAUCUUGUGGAGAUCCAGAGAGAGGGAUACGGGAAAGUCACAGAAAAACAGCAAAAUAUAACAUCUGGCAACUAGGUGGUGCUGAAAAUCUACCAAUGGGUAAAAAAAUGCAAAAGUUGGGGGAAAAGAAGAAGAAAAACAUUUGCACAAUUGCGAGGUACUGAAUUGGUCGGCAAAUUCUGUCCCAGAAGUGUGAGACCAAAGCUGUAAGACACAGCCAUUUGCUACAAGCAGCUGCCACCACCUCAAAGAUCCUUGAUCUAUAUGAACAACUUUUGAGCAGAACUGGGGCUCUGGUUUUGCUAUUCAUCGUCCUCAUUUUGUGCAGCAGUAUUAGGCUUCCUUUGUGUAAUUUUCUGUGGACUAGCAACUGCCCUAACAUGGCUUGCUUUGUUUCAGCAGGUCUGAGUAUGUCUUAAAAUAAACGAUAUCAAAUCA